CCUACGGGUGGCAGCAGUGGGGAAUAUUGCGCAAUGGGCGAAAGCCUGACGCAGCGACGCCGCGUGAGGGAUGACGGUCUUCGGAUCGUAAACCUCUGUCAGCAGGGAAGAACGGUCACUGUGCUAAUCCGCAGUUAAUUGACGGUACCUGCAAAGGAAGCACCGGCUAACUCCGUGCCAGCAGCCGCGGUAAUACGGAGGGUGCGAGCGUUAAUCGGAAUUACUGGGCGUAAAGCGCUCGUAGGCGGUAUGUCAAGUCAAGUGUGAAAUCCCCGCGCUCAACGUGGGAACUGCAUUUGAAACUGGAAGACGGGAGUGUGUGAGAGGAUAGUGGAAUUCAAGGUGUAGGAGUGAAAUCCGUAGAUAUCUGGAGGAACAUCAGUGGCGAAGGCGACUAUCUGGGACAUAACUGACGCUGAGGAGCGAAAGCGUGGGUAGCAAACAGGAUUAGAUACCCCGGUAGUC
rnacentral:rRNA from 1 species